UCGUCUGUUGUGCGGCGGUGUUUCGUGUUCUUCUCCAAAAUAUAGCGGUCAAAGCGAUGAGGUUCUUUUAAUUCUGCCUCUAAUGAAGGUAAUGAUGGCAUGGGAUAGAAGAGCCUGGCCAUAGGGAUGCAGAGUCUCUGAGGCCCAAGAAAGAAAGAGAGAAAGAAAAGAAAAGGCACGGUCAAUUCAAGAAAAGAUAAACAAAAGUGGAGGCGUGGAAUUUUACUCUCGAGAAAGGAGGGAAGAGAGAGAGAGCUGAGAUGGCUUGACCAACUGAGCUAUCAAUUUUAAUAUUUGAUGGCCAGGACAAGGCAUCUUAUUCCUGGGGAUUACCCUGAAGAAUCCAAUAAAUGGUAUCUGUGAAGAAUCCAAGAGUGUUCAUACCUAUCUAUUUCAAGAAGACGUAUAGAUAUAACUAAGGACCCGAUGCCCCCAUCUUCCUUCCAAGGAGUCAUGGCAUUGACAGGACAAAUUAACGUAUAUACAUCUUCAAAUUGAGUUUUAGGUCGGAUGAUAUUAGAAAUAAUGAGAGAAACCAGUUUGGUGAAGAGUGUUAUGGUACAUGAUGAUGAUGAUGAUGAUCUGAACAAACAAGGAGUGCUUAGUUCUUCUGCUGAAGCAAUUCAGUACAGUUUUUGCAUGCGAUGCGAUGUUCAAUCAUUCUCACCAGAGCAUCAUAAUGGUAAAGACUGUCAGCUCCAAAAAUGGUUGGGGUAAUUUGUUAUUGAACUCGGAGCAUGCAGAAGGGGCUGCAAACAUUAAUAUUUGCAGUCAAUCGAAUACUGGACAAGUUUAUUUAUUUUCAAGAAAUGAAUCAGAAGAACAGCUCUCAUUUCAAUGAUUAGGAAAGUUGCAAACCAAUUUGCAUUGAAUCCAAAGAAACAGCGAAUCAAUACACCUUAUAUGAGAGGGUUUCGACGCGCUCCUUAUCGCCCUCAAAAACGCAUCUUUCACGUGAUGACAAUUGCUCACGUUCAUGGCGGCAUUUUGCGACCCCUUCUCACGAGAGGUAUCUUUCUGUCUUGUUAUUCUUCCAUUGCCCUUGUCAAGAUGGAAUCUUGUAAGGGUCCCUUAACAUCUUGUGAGGCUGUUCUUGUCAUCUAGGGCUUCGAUGUCUCUGUAUACUUUUAGUAGUUGUUUGAGUAGCAUUAUUGCUUGUUCAUGCUUGCUGCUUGAAAGAAUUCCACUUCUUUCUGGCCCCAUAUCCUGACACAAUCAUUUUUACCCCCUUCCUCUUUUGACAUCUUACCCUGCUAUUUGAACUCUUCGACGAUGAUGACUCUUCACAAUUUUCCAAUUGUAGUUUUUGAAUUUUAAAUUAUUAUUUAUUAUACUUUUAGAUUGUUUUGACGAACUUAA